GGGAAAACCCUAUACAAAUCGUAAGGGUCAAGAAAAAAAUGGGAAAAGCUGUCCAAAAGAGGGAAGAGCGUGUUCCACGACGUGCAGAAAGGAUUGUGGAAAGUUGAUUGAUGAGCGCAAGCUGCAUCUGUUCAACAGUUUCUACACUGUCCCAUACGAGAAACAACCAGCAAAACCAUUCAAGGUGAUGAGGAUGCAAUGUGAAGACUUCAGUCACCUCCCAGAUUCUGUUCUCAAGCGACUUGCUGGACUACAGAUCACUUCAGUGAGGUGGUUAAAAGUCACAUGUAUUGCACAGAGAAUAGUUUACUAACAUCCCAUCAACAUGCAACAUGUUGUUCUAACAAUAAAAUAUCCUAAUGAUU